rnacentral:misc_RNA from 1 species
UUGUGGAGAAGGACGCCGAAGGUGGGGCUGAUGACUGGGGUGAAGUCGUAACAAGGUAGCCGUACCGGAAGGUGCGGCUGGAUCACCUCCUAACAGGGAGACAAUAAAUUGAUUGUGAUGUCUAAGUUAUUUAUUCUUAGGCCGCAAUCCUGUCACCUUAAGGUCGAUCGGUACCUCAGAUUUUUGAAUUAAUUUUUUAAUUAAUCCUUUUAUUUCAGUUCCUAAACUUGUCUAGGUCACACCCAACAAAGGUUUCUCCUGGGCCAUUAGCUCAGGUGGUUAGAGCGCACCCCUGAUAAGGGUGAGGUCCCUGGCUCAAGUCCAGGAUGGCCCAUUCGUUGUUGGGGGUAUAGCUCAGUUGGUAGAGCGCCUGCUUUGCAAGCAGGAUGUCAGCGGUUCGAGUCCGCUUACCUCCACUGAAAACUAUCCUGCUAACUGUAUUUCCGGAGAAAAUUUGUAGAAGUGACUUAGAAUUGUCUAUUUGAAAAGAACCUAGCUUCUUAUCAUCUUCUUAAUAGUUGAUAAUAUGCUGGGCUCCCGUGGAUUUAUUCCAUGAGAAUUCAGUAGAACCUUGAAAACUGCAUAGAUUAGAAAGAAUAAAGCAUCUCAUGGAUGCAUAAUUCUGAUUUGAUUUUUAGCUUCAAUGCUAAAUGAUCAAGUUUAAGAAUUCAUGUUUAAUUCUUGAGUAAUAGCCGAGCACAAUUGAAUUGUGUUUGUAUUAAGGUCAAGCUACAA